UUUAAUCAUAUUACUAAGGA
rnacentral:rRNA from 1 species